GGGUUGUGAGGUUAAGCGACUAAGCGUACACGGUGGAUGCCCUGGCAGUCAGAGGCGAUGAAGGACGUGCUAAUCUGCGAAAAGCGCCGGCGAGGUGAUAUGAACCUUUGACCCGGCGAUGUCCGAAUGGGGAAACCCAGUGUGUUCCGACACACUAUCGUUAACUGAAUACAUAGGUUAACGAGGCGAACCGGGGGAACUGAAACAUCUAAGUACCCCGAGGAAAAGAAAUCAACCGAGAUUCCCCCAGUAGCGGCGAGCGAACGGGGAGCAGCCCAGAGUCUGAAUCAGCUUGUGUGUUAGUGGAAGCGUCUGGAAAGUCGCACGGUACAGGGUGACAGUCCCGUACACGAAAAUGCACAGGUUGUGAACUCGAAGAGUAGGGCGGGACACGUGGUAUCCUGUCUGAAUAUGGGGGGACCAUCCUCCAAGGCUAAAUACUCCUGACUGACCGAUAGUGAACCAGUACCGUGAGGGAAAGGCGAAAAGAACCCCGGCGAGGGGAGUGAAAAAGAACCUGAAACCGUGUACGUACAAGCAGUGGGAGCACCUUCGUGGUGUGACUGCGUACCUUUUGUAUAAUGGGUCAGCGACUUAUAUUCUGUAGCAAGGUUAACCGUAUAGGGGAGCCGAAGGGAAACCGAGUCUUAACUGGGCGUUAAGUUGCAGGGUAUAGACCCGAAACCCGGUGAUCUAGCCAUGGGCAGGUUGAAGGUUGGGUAACACUAACUGGAGGACCGAACCGACUAAUGUUGAAAAAUUAGCGGAUGACCUGNNNNNNNNNNNNNNNNNNNNNNNNNNNNNNNNNNNNNNNNNNNNNNNNNNNNNNNNNNNNNNNNNNNNNNNNNNNNNNNNNNNNNNNNNNNNNNACCUGUGGCUGGGGGUGAAAGGCCAAUCAAACCGGGAGAUAGCUGGUUCUCCCCGAAAGCUAUUUAGGUAGCGCCUCGUGAACUCAUCUUCGGGGGUAGAGCACUGUUUCGGCUAGGGGGCCAUCCCGGCUUACCAACCCGAUGCAAACUACGAAUACCGAAGAAUGUUAUCACGGGAGACACACGGCGGGUGCUAACGUCCGUCGUGAAGAGGGAAACAACCCAGACCGCCAGCUAAGGUCCCAAAGUCAUGGUUAAGUGGGAAACGAUGUGGGAAGGCACAGACAGCCAGGAUGUUGGCUUAGAAGCAGCCAUCAUUUAAAGAAAGCGUAAUAGCUCACUGGUCGAGUCGGCCUGCGCGGAAGAUGUAACGGGGCUAAACCAUGCACCGAAGCUGCGGCAGCGACGCUUAUGCGUUGUUGGGUAGGGGAGCGUUCUGUAAGCCGUCGAAGGUGGCCUGUGAGGGCUGCUGGAGGUAUCAGAAGUGCGAAUGCUGACAUAAGUAACGAUAAAGCGGGUGAAAAGCCCGCUCGCCGGAAGACCAAGGGUUCCUGUCCAACGUUAAUCGGGGCAGGGUGAGUCGACCCCUAAGGCGAGGCCGAAAGGCGUAGUCGAUGGGAAACAGGUUAAUAUUCCUGUACUUGGUGUUACUGCGAAGGGGGGACGGAGAAGGCUAUGUCAGCCGGGCGACGGUUGUCCCGGUUUAAGCGUGUAGGUGUGUGUUCCAGGCAAAUCCGGUUCACUUUAACACUGAGGCGUGAUGACGAGGCACUACGGUGCUGAAGUGAUAAAUGCCCUGCUUCCAGGAAAAGCCUCUAAGCAUCAGGUAACACGAAAUCGUACCCCAAACCGACACAGGUGGUCAGGUAGAGAAUACCAAGGCGCUUGAGAGAACUCGGGUGAAGGAACUAGGCAAAAUGGUGCCGUAACUUCGGGAGAAGGCACGCUGAUAUGUAGGUGAAGCCCCUGCGGGUGGAGCUGAAAUCAGUCGAAGAUACCAGCUGGCUGCAACUGUUUAUUAAAAACACAGCACUGUGCAAACACGAAAGUGGACGUAUACGGUGUGACGCCUGCCCGGUGCCGGAAGGUUAAUUGAUGGGGUUAGCGGCAACGCGAAGCUCUUGAUCGAAGCCCCGGUAAACGGCGGCCGUAACUAUAACGGUCCUAAGGUAGCGAAAUUCCUUGUCGGGUAAGUUCCGACCUGCACGAAUGGCGUAAUGAUGGCCAGGCUGUCUCCACCCGAGACUCAGUGAAAUUGAACUCGCUGUGAAGAUGCAGUGUACCCGCGGCAAGACGGAAAGACCCCGUGAACCUUUACUAUAGCUUGACACUGAACACUGGUCCUUGAUGUGUAGGAUAGGUGGGAGGCUUUGAAGCGUGGACGCCAGUCUGCGUGGAGCCGUCCUUGAAAUACCACCCUUUAAUGGCUGGUGUUCUAACGUGGACCCGUAAUCCGGGUUGCGGACAGUGUCUGGUGGGUAGUUUGACUGGGGCGGUCUCCUCCCAAAGAGUAACGGAGGAGCACGAAGGUUAGCUAAUCCUGGUCGGACAUCAGGAGGUUAGUGCAAUGGCAUAAGCUAGCUUGACUGCGAGAGUGACGGCUCGAGCAGGUGCGAAAGCAGGUCAUAGUGAUCCGGUGGUUCUGAAUGGAAGGGCCAUCGCUCAACGGAUAAAAGGUACUCCGGGGAUAACAGGCUGAUACCGCCCAAGAGUUCAUAUCGACGGCGGUGUUUGGCACCUCGAUGUCGGCUCAUCACAUCCUGGGGCUGAAGUAGGUCCCAAGGGUAUGGCUGUUCGCCAUUUAAAGUGGUACGCGAGCUGGGUUUAGAACGUCGUGAGACAGUUCGGUCCCUAUCUGCCGUGGGCGCUGGAGAAUUGAGGGGGGCUGCUCCUAGUACGAGAGGACCGGAGUGGACGCAUCACUGGUGUUCGGGUUGUCAUGCCAAUGGCACUGCCCGGUAGCUAAAUGCGGAAGAGAUAAGUGCUGAAAGCAUCUAAGCACGAAACUUGCCCCGAGAUGAGUUCUCCCUGAGACUUUAAGUCUCCUGAAGGAACGUUGAAGACGACGACGUUGAUAGGUCGGGUGUGUAAGCGCAGCGAUGCGUUGAGCUAACCGAUACUAAUGAACCGUGAGGCUUAACCUUACAACGCCGAAGGUGUUU
rnacentral:rRNA from 1 species